AUCUUUAUAGUUUAAAUAAAAACAUUACACUGAAAAUGUAAAAAUAAGUAUAUUAAAGGUA
rnacentral:tRNA from 2 species